rnacentral:rRNA from 1 species
UGGGGAAUAUUGGACAAUGGGCGCAAGCCUGAUCUAGCCAUGCCGCGUGAGCGAUGAAGGCCUUAGGGUUGUAAAGCUCUUUCAGUGGGGAAGAUAAUGACUGUACCCACAGAAGAAGCCCCGGCUAACUUCGUGCCAGCAGCCGCGGUAAUACGAAGGGGGCUAGCGUUGCUCGGAAUUACUGGGCGUAAAGGGAGCGUAGGCGGACAUUUAAGUCAGGGGUGAAAUCCCGGGGCUCAACCUCGGAACUGCCUUUGAUACUGGAGAUCUUGAGUUCGGAAGAGGUUGGUGGAACAGCUAGUGUAGAGGUGAAAUUCGUAGAUAUUAGCUAGAACACCAGUGGCGAAGGCGGCCAACUGGUCCGAUACUGACGCUGAGGUGCGAAAGCGUGGGGAGCAAACA